rnacentral:rRNA from 1 species
UACGAAGGGGCUAGCGUUGUUCGGAAUCACUGGGCGUAAAGGCGCGUAGGCGGCCGAUCAAGUCGGGGGUGAAAGCCUGUGGCUUAACCACAGAAUGGCCUUCGAUACUGUUUGGCUUGAGACCGGAAGAGGUUAGUGGAACUGCGGAGUGUAGAGGUGAAAUUCGUAGAUAUUCGCAAAGAACACCAGUGGCGAAGGCGGCUCACUGGCCCGAUACUGACGCUGAGGCACGAAAGCGUGGGAGCAA